rnacentral:rRNA from 1 species
GAUGAACGCUGGCGGCGUGCCUAAUACAUGCAAGUCGAACGCACAGCGAAAGGUGCUUGCACCUUUCAAGUGAGUGGCGAACGGGUGAGUAACACGUGGACAACCUGCCUCAAGGCUGGGGAUAACAUUUGGAAACAGAUGCUAAUACCGAAUAAAACUCAGUGUCGCAUGACACAAGGUUAAAAGGCGCUUUGGCGUCACCUAGAGAUGGAUCCGCGGCG